GGAUUAGAUACCCUGGUAGUCCACGCCGUAAACGGUGGGUACUAGGUGUGGGGGACAUUCCACGUUCUCCGUGCCGCAGCUAACGCAUUAAGUACCCCGCCUGGGGAGUACGGCCGCAAGGCUAAAACUCAAAGGAAUUGACGGGGCCCCGCACAAGCGGCGGAGCAUGCGGAUUAAUUCGAUGCAACGCGAAGAACCUUACCUGGGUUUGACAUAUGCCGGAAACACCUAGAGAUAGGUGCCCCUUUAUGGUCGGUUUACAGGUGGUGCAUGGCUGUCGUCAGCUCGUGCUG
rnacentral:rRNA from 1 species